GACGAACGCUGGCGGCGUGCUUAACACAUGCCAGUCGAACGGAAAGGCCCUGCUUGCAGGGUACUCGAGUGGCGAACGGGUGAGUAACACGUGGGUGAUCUGCCCUGCACUUCGGGAUAAGCCUGGGAAACUGGGUCUAAUACCGGAUAGGAGCCAUUUUUAGUGUGAUGGUUGGAAAGUUUUUUCGGUGUAGGAUGAGCUCGCGGCCUAUCAGCUUGUUGGUGGGGUAAUGGCCUACCAAGGCGGCGACGGGUAGCCGGCCUGAGAGGGUGGACGGCCACAUUGGGACUGAGAGACGGCCCAGACUCCUACGGGAGGCAGCAGUGGGGAAUAUUGAACAAUGGGCGCAAGCCUGAUGCAGCGACGCCGCGUGGGGGAUGACGGCCUUCGGGUUGUAAACUCCUUUCGCUAGGGACGAAGCUUUUUGUGACGGUACCUAGAUAAGAAGCACCGGCUAACUACGUG
rnacentral:rRNA from 1 species